rnacentral:lncRNA from 1 species
ACUGACGUAAAACUUAUCUAGCUUUUCUGUAAGUUCAGCUCUCAUAUCAUACAUACUCUAUCAUUCUAGGAUCUAGCAAAAUGUGAUUAUGAUUGAUUGUCACAUCAUGUGUACCCAGGGUAAAAGGGUGUUGCCUCAAUGUUUAAUUUGACCAAUAUUUGUGAAGCAAAACUUCUUCAGAAUAUCUCUAUUUUUCUUAAAUUUUCCUAUUCCACAAGGGUGGAAAACUUUAGUAGACAGUGUACAUCAAAAUGAUUGCUUUCAAAUCGGAGAACAGGGAUUGUCCCUAGAUGGCAUUGUAGUGUGAAGGAGAGCUAAUCAUUACGAACUUUGCCACUUUAGCUCUUCAAGGAGAUACUCGUACCUUAACAAUUAGUUUGACCUUUCAUUUGGGCAUAUGAGUAUGACAUUUAAUCCAUUAAGGGCACUUGAGUAAAGUUGUAAGAAAUGCAAUGGAAAGCCUAUCUAGUUGUGGAAACUUGUAUAUAGUAUGUUUAUGUUUACCCAUUCGACACUAAGACACCUAGAGAAAGGUGAGGAUCAACUUCAACCUCAUUAAAAGAAAGGUCAUCAUCUUUUGGUUUUUUCAAUGUCUAUAUGUGAUACCUAUAUAGGUUAGGUUGGCCAAAAUGGGCCUUUUCGACUUAGCUUCUUAGGCUCGAUUGAUGUGCCUUGUAACAUGUUGACAUGUGCCAUAGGUGGGUUGAUGUUACAGGUCCUGGCAUCAGCUUCAUUACCUUGUAUCACCAAACACCUUCUGAGGUGGAAAAUUUCAGGCAAUAAUAAUAUAUUGAGGUAGCAGCCUUUAACUCGGUCAUCCCAGGAUUGUACAGCUGUUAAAGGUAAAUCAUCAAUCACAAAAUUUGCGAUAGUUCUCCAUUUACAAAGAAAAUCUUCAAGUUCGACUAUGAGGAUAUCUGACAUUUCACCUUAAUCGAAUUACUAAUGAAACCUUGUAAUCAUAUGGGUAAGGUCGCAGGUACAUUUUUGAAAUUCCUACUCGAUCUAAGGUCUCUGAUAAUAUGUUAACAGAACUCUCAUUUCUAGUGGGGUAGUCUGUGGAGGAUUUAAUUGUCCCUUACCUGCAUGAAAGCUCCUUCCGAUGAGGUAUUGAGAUGGCGGUAUUCUUGAAAUCUUUCUGGAUAUGGGUGAGGUCAUUUCAUCUCUCACUGCUCCCUCAUUCUUUGAGUAUAGGUCUCUUAUCUACUCUUUUUUUCUUUUGAAAGAGCUGCAUCUUUUACUUCUAUCCUUUCUCCCUCUUGUUCUGACGUUGCUUCUUCUAUUCCUAUGUUUUUCUCAGUUUAACUAAAGAAUUUAUGCUAGGUUUUUUUACCAUCUUCUUGGAAGAACCACCAGAAUCUUGUCUAGGUCUUAGUCUAGAUAGAAAGCCAUUAGGACAGUGUUAUCUAAGAUUUUUUCAACCUUCAAGAUUUGCUUGUUAUAUCUGCUAAGGUAAUAUUUCAGAAAUUGGCUUUAUCCUUUUUUAAUACUUAACAAACAUUAAUUGGGUAUUGUCUUGGCCAUAGGACCUAUAAAUUUGGCCGAUAAUGUAGUAGCCAUGUGAAUCCAAGUUUCGAUCAACCUUUGCUCUCUAAACCAUCUUUGAGCUUUAUCUCGAAGUGUGAGGGAGAAAGCCUUGUACAUAAUGGUAUCACUGGCUCCUUGUAACUCCAUUAUAGACGCACUCUUGUCAAGGUGGCUAAUGGGGUUGCCCUCCACAUUGUAUCUAGUGAGCUAAGGAAUCUUCAAUUUUUAGGAGAGGUUUCACUAGGAUAUCCUCUGUAAAAGACGGGUAGUGAUUUGAGAAGUAUUCUUCUAUCUCCUUUUGCUUUGCCUCUAGAUCGACUAUUCAUUUUUUCAAACAACUUAGCUCAAGUUUUUUUUUCUAACCCAUUAAAGGGAUUGUUUUGAGUGGGAUUGGGUCACUCAUUCCUUAGUGGGGGAGAACUUUGCUUCCAAUCCAUCGAAUACACUUCCAUCUCUCUUAGGGCUUCAUUCUUCGAGAGGUGAGGUAUCUGUUUUGGAGAACUAUUCAUUUGAAAACUAUAGAUGCCUUCGAACAAGAGAUCGUAAGCUUUUACCUUCGAUUGGAGAUUCUAUCUCAAUUUUCGCUAUUCAAGUAGUGGGGUUUGCUUGCCUUGUGCAUCACAUGACAUUCAUGAGGCAUUCUAUGGCCUCUUUCGUUACAGUUAAUUUACGAUGUUUGAUUUCAGUGAUGGGGAUUCUGAGAUCAAUAAAGUUUGCAGGAGAAAGACUUUUUAAUGUAGUGUAGUACAUCAUCUUCCUUGUAGACAAUCUGACUUUGGGUACUUCUCAAGUGUUAAAAAUGUAGACUGUUUGCUUUAUAGGGCACUUCGUUUAGCGUCGCUUUUGAUGGAUAAAAUGAUGUGAUAGAUUAGACCAACUUAAAAUAAAUUUGAGAUGAUAAUUGCUCGAAUUAGAUGACAAAGCUGUGUUUCUUUGGGAAUUUUUUCUCUAAGUGAAUUACAGGGACUUAUUUUUCUGAUCCAAGGAAGGCAACAAGUUUUCAAAGAUCCAGCUCAACUUGAAGAUGAAUCAAAGACAAGAUCAAGAGCUACGGAGGAUCAAGGUAGCCACGGCAUGAGUUGUCUGAGAUGUAGAGGCUAAGAGCUCGAGUGCAACCAGCCGAAAAAAAAAUUUACAUGUUGGACAAGAAGGUGGGAUCAAGUUUGGUGGGUUGGAUUCAAGCUUUGGAAGUUAUAUGAAAAAAAAAAAAAAAAAAAAAAAAAGCAGCGUGGAAAAAAGCGUGCAUAACUUUCAGUUUGGGUGUUGGAUUUUUGCCCAUGAGUAUAAUCUGAAAAUAUCAUGAAAUUCUACACAUGAAAAAGAGAGAGUCAACAUUAAAGCUAUACAAUCGCAUAGCUCUUAAUAAGGGAUUCUGUCGCAUAACUAUUUACCGAGAGCAAACUGGCGGAUUUUGGUUCUUUUAUGCGAUCGCAUAGAAAAUAGCUACACGACCUCAUAGUUCAACCCCGAAAGUGAAUUUUUCAAUUUUCACGAAAUCUUUUAUUUUAGUAACUUUUGUAUUCUUUAGACUUUAAUUCCGUAUAGACUAGGGAUUUGCGGGUUUCCUAUAAAUGACUCAUUAUUCUAAAUUGUAAAUAACAUUCAUUCAUAUCAAUCGAGAGAUUACUUUUCUGAGCAUAUUUUGCUUUCAAUUCCUUGUUCUUCAUUGAAUAAAUUUCUAACUUAUAAAGAAUUA